rnacentral:rRNA from 1 species
UACGAAGGGGGCUAGCGUUGCUCGGAAUUACUGGGCGUAAAGCGCAUGUAGGCGGUCUUUUAAGUCGGGGGUGAAAUCCUGGAGCUCAACUCCAGAACUGCCUUCGAUACUGGAAGACUUGAGUCCGGGAGAGGUGAGUGGAACUGCGAGUGUAGAGGUGAAAUUCGUAGAUAUUCGCAAGAACACCAGUGGCGAAGGCGGCUCACUGGCCCGGUACUGACGCUGAGGUGCGAAAGCGUGGGGAGCAAACAGG